CUUUGGCGUCUUCCCCAGAGAGCUGGCGGAUAUUAGCGGCUGAACGCCGGUGGGACUCUCGGUCAGGGGUCCCGGCGAGCCCCGCGGGUGGCAGCGAGGUGACAGUGAACCUACGGCUCAUGCAUGUGCACCAAGAGCCCACCUUCAAAUCUCACUGUCACCGCUCACCGGCUAUGAGAAUUCAGACCCUCUUGGCUUGUCCCUUCUCGCGUUCUCACCCCGAACACCAAACUGGAUGACAAUGUCGGCUUCCCGGCCGUACACGCGAGUGAAGGUGAGCGGCGUCACCUUGCUCCAGACGUCGAAAGCGCGGGC